UAAUCCAUGUGGUUGCAAUGAUAUUCUUAAUGUUGCUCUCGGACGACCUGAGCACCCUGGACGUGUUCGUGUAGCUGGAUAUGGGGUUGGGAUUCGCUCAUACUUUGGACAUUCAUCACAUAGCAAGGAACAAUUGUCCAAUCAACCUAGCCAAGAGUAUUUACUACAAUUACGUGAGCAGUUAAAGGUUGAGGUAACUCAAGAGCUUAAAGAAAGCCUCAUGGAGAAGUUUAAUGUGCGAAUG
rnacentral:lncRNA from 1 species